rnacentral:rRNA from 1 species
CUGUUCAACGGCCGCGGUAUCCUAACCGUGCGAAGGUAGCGUAAUCACUUGUUCUUUAAAUGUGGACUAGUAUGAAUGGCACUACGAGGGUUACACUGUCUCCUUUUUCUAAUCAGUGAAACUAAUUUCCCCGUGAAGAAGCGGGAAUUCACCUAUAAGACGAGAAGACCCUAUGGAGCUUUAAACAAUCCAGCAAUUACUUUUAAAAUUAUAAAUUUCAGAAUAUUAAUUUUUUUAAGCAAUGUGUCUGCAAGUUUUCGGUUGGGGUGACCAUGGAGAAUAACACAACCUCCAUAUUGAAUGAAUCCCAUUCUAAGCUAAAAAUUACUAAUUGAAGCAUCAACAUAUUGACAUCUAUUGACCCAAUAUACUUGAUCAACGAACCAAGUUACCCUAGGGAUAACAGCGCAAUCCACUUCAAGAGCCCCUAUCGACAAGUGGGUUUACGACCUCGAUGUUGGAUCAGG